rnacentral:rRNA from 1 species
AGACCGAUAGCGAACAAGUACAGUGAUGGAAAGAUGAAAAGCACUUUGAAAAGAGAGUGAAACAGCACGUGAAAUUGUUGAAAGGGAAGGGCUUGCAAGCAGACACGGUUUUACCGGGCCAGCGUCGAAAUAGGGGGGAGGGAACAAGNGGGAAAGAAUGUGGCGCGUACCUUCGGGCUCGCGUGUUAUAGCUCUCNCUAACACCCCCAUNCCUUGUUUGAGGCCUGCGAUUCUAGGACGCUGGCGUAAUGGUUGCAAGCCGCCCGUCUUGAAACACGGACCAAG